GCAGGUGCGAGGGAGGGAAGAGAAGAAAGCGGGCGGCUAGGGGGCGGUUACCACCCUAGCCGGACUCGCCCGGCACGUUGAGGGGCCCCUGAGUGCGGCAGGAAAGGAGCGGAGCCCGAAGCGGCGCCGAAGAGCCUUGGCUUUGGUGGAGACUGGCACCCUGCGUUCAUUAUUUGUCAGGAAGAAAGUGGAGUGGCAUCUCAAGGCUAUCCAUAGACAACAGAAGCAAGGAUCCUACAAUCAAAAGGGCUUCUGUGCUUAGUCUUUGGAAAAAACUUACAUGAUCUAAUUUUCCAGACUUGGGAAAGGAAAGUAUCCCUGUGAUUGCAGUGAAGAAUCCAGUAUCAUAUUGUGGAGUGGUCAAGAUCCACCAGUGUGAAGCAUCAGGC